rnacentral:sRNA from 1 species
CUAAGUCAUGGUUGUCUUUUCAAUACCUGGUAUGGUAUCAGGCACAGGACAGUUGCUGACAAACAUUUGUUAGCUAAUUAUCAUGUGCUGGGGGAGUUGGAGGGAGACUGAACCAAUAAAGGGAAAUUUGGGCACUUCUGAAUGUGCCCUCUGAUGAGGGACUGUCUGUGUCUCUCCUCAGAGGCUGUCCCAAGAGAAGCAGACCUCAGAUUCUGACAGCGUGGGCGUGGGUGACAGCUGUUCUACCCUUGGCCGCCGGGAGACCUGUGAUCACGGCAAAGGGAAGAAGAGCAGCCUGGCAGAACUGAAGGGCUCAAUGAGCAGGGCCGCGGGCCGCAAGAUCACCCGUAUCAUCGGCUUCUCUAAGAAGAAGACACUGGCCGAUGACCUGCAGAUGUCCUCCACCGAGGAGGAGGUUCCCUGCUUUGGCUACCUGAACGUGCUGGUGAACCAGGGCUGGAAGGAACGCUGGUGCCGCCUGAAGUGCAACACUCUGUAUUUCCACAAGGAUCACACGGACCUGCGAACCCACGUGAACGCCAUCGCCCUGCAAGGCUGUGAGGUGGCCCCGGGCUUUGGGCCCCGACACCCAUUUGCCUUCAGGAUCCUGCGCAACCGGCAGGAGGUGGCCAUCUUGGAGGCAAGCUGUUCAGAGGACAUGGGUCGCUGGCUCGGGCUGCUGCUGGUGGAGAUGGGCUCCAGAGUCACUCCGGAGGCACUGCACUAUGACUACGUGGAUGUGGAGACCUUAACCAGCAUCGUCAGUGCUGGGCGCAACUCAUUCCUAUAUGCAAGAUCCUGCCAGAAUCAGUGGCCUGAGCCCCGAGUCUAUGAUGAUGUUCCUUAUGAAAAGAUGCAGGAUGAGGAGCCCGAGCGCCCUACAGGGGCCCAGGUGAAGCGUCACGCCUCCUCCUGCAGUGAGAAGUCCCAUCGCGUGGACCCGCAGGUCAAAGUCAAACGCCAUGCCUCCAGUGCCAAUCAAUACAAGUAUGGCAAGAACCGAGCCGAGGAGGACGCCCGGAGGUACUUGGUAGAAAAAGAGAAGCUGGAGAAAGAGAAAGAGACGAUUCGGACAGUGCUGACAGCACUGAGACAGGAGAAGAGGGAACUGAAGGAAGCCAUUCGGAGCAACCCAGGAGCAAAAUUAAAGGCUCUGGAAGAAGCCGUGGCCACCCUGGAAGCUCAGUGUCGGGCAAAGGAGGAGCGCCGGAUUGACCUGGAGCUGAAGCUGGUGGCUGUGAAGGAGCGCUUGCAGCAGUCUCUGGCGGGAGGGCCAGCCCUGGGGCUCUCCAUGAGCAGCAAGCCCAAGAGUGGGGAAACUGCAAGUAAACCCCAGAACAGCGUUGCAGAGCAACCUCUCCCUGUCAACUGUGUUUCUGAGCUGAGGAAGAGGAGCCCAUCCAUCGUAGCCUCCAACCAAGGAAGGGUGCUACAGAAAGCCAAGGAAUGGGAAAUGAAGAAGACCUAGGAAGAGGAUGAGGAUUUCAUUCCAAAGGAAAUACCAGCUUGUCCACCUGAGGAAGAAAUGCUUUUUUCACAAGGAGACACCAAGAGAAGACUAGGAAGUAGCCCUCAUUCUCCAGGGCACCCAAAAUACCAGCCUUUAUUGUCUGCAUGAUUUUAGGGGAUAUGGGGAGGGAAGAAGUAGAAGGGAGGAGGGAAAUGGAGAGCAUCCUUAUGACUUUACAAAGGGUGGAAAUGAGGAUGGAGGGAUACAGAAGUCUGCACAGCUGUAAAGGUUUUAUAGAUGUCUUUGCCUUCCCUUCUGAGGAAGAGAAGAAGAAAUGAAAGCACAUGUGAAUAACCGCUUCCAUCCCAUUCACAGCAUCGCACUCCCAGUCCUUAAGGCAAAGGGAGGCAGUGCUGAAGCAUUGGUGGUGCAGUGUAAAGAGACAAGACCUGAUCAUUUGAUCACACUUGUGCCAACUUGAUUCAUAUUGGUCAUUACUGACAACCCCUGGGCAGGGCAAAUAGGUUGAACAAUCAAUAACAUUAUCCCUGCCUGCAUACAUGUGAACAAAAGCUAUAGAUGACAUGCAAAUUCUACAGUCAUUCCUCAUAUGCUUUAGACAGAGUGCAGCUACUGGAAUCUUCCAGAUUUCAGUGUUUUAAAAUCAGAGCUCUGAAUACACAAAAGGAAAGAGAAAUGGAGCAGCUGACAUAUUUUAAGCUCACAGUGAUACUCAGUGACAGGAGCACAGAGCUCUAAUGUCCACAGGAUGUUGUAGGGUAGGGUCUUUCAGUAAAUCAAGUCCCUUACCUAUGUUCUAUGACACUGAGGCUCUUGGAGCUAUGGGUUAGAAAUCCAGGAGGCAAUAUGUCUUUAUUCUAAUGAAGUCCUCAUCUUGCACUCAGAGGCCCACUAGUUUGCCCUUCUAUAUAUUAAGUAAAACCAAGAGAAAUUAAGAGGAUGAUGGCUUCUUUCUGUCACAUGGGUGCUAAACCUUUUACAAACACUUGAUACUUCUAUAGAGGGACCAAGGACCUCAAGUCCUGGGCAGUCUCCUUACUGUGCUACUCACUACUGUCUCAACACUGUAGUGAGUCUGUCUUUAACACAUUUCCUUCCAAUAAAGAUAAAACCACUUAACUCUUAAGAGCCAGUGCUUAGCUCAAGAGGAAAGAAGGAAAAUCCCAGAAUAACCGUGGCCACUUUGCUAUAGGGGUUACAUAUUUUAACCCACCUAAGGUUUUACAGACUUCAGGCUCACUCAAACUUUAUCACCCUCUGAGGUAGCUGGAGACCACAGCAGGAAAAAUAACCUGACCAGUAAUCACCCACUGAUUAGUGGCAGAGCGUAGGACUUAGGGGUUAUAAGCCCAGAUCCAGAUAGGGCUAGGUUUGAGCCAUGCCUCUAAUGACCAGCUGGAUGACCUUGGGAAGGUCACGUGACCGCUCUGAUUCUUGUUUUCCUUAUCUGUGAAAUGGGACUAACAAUUGUUACUUUUCUCCCAAGAUUGUUGGGAAGAUUUAAUAAGAUAAUAUAUAGUAGGCAUCUUGCAUAGUGUCUGAGAAAUAAGAAAUGCUCAGUCAGUAGUGGCUCUCACUAGCCAGGCAUGGUGGUACUCGCCUAUAGUCCCAGUCACUCAGGAGGCUGAGGCAGGAGGACCACUUGAGCCCAGGAGUUUGAGACUGCAGUGCACUAUGAUCACGCCUGUGAAUUGCCACUGCACUCCAGCCUAAGCAAAUAGCAAGACACCAUCUAUUAAAAAAAAAAAAAAAGUGGCUAUUAUUAGCUAUAUGAG